GGAAAAGAAACUAACAAGGAUUCCCCUAGUAACUGCGAGUGAAGCGGGAAAAGCUCAAAUUUAAAAUCUGGCAGUCUUUUGGCUGUCCGAGUUGUAGUCUGGAGAAGUGCUUUCCGCGCUGGACCGUGUACAAGUCUCUUGGAACAGAGCGUCAUAGAGGGUGAGAAUCCCGUCUUUGACACGGACUACCAGUGCUUUGUGAUGCGCUCUCAAAGAGUCGAGUUGUUUGGGAAUGCAGCUCAAAAUGGGUGGUAAAUUCCAUCUAAAGCUAAAUAUUGGCGAGAGACCGAUAGCGAACAAGUACCGUGAGGGAAAGAUGAAAAGCACUUUGGAAAGAGAGUUAAACAGUACGUGAAAUUGCUGAAAGGGAAACGCUUGAAGUCAGUCACGUUGGCUGGGACUCAGCCUUGCUUUUUUGCUUGGUGCAUUUUCCAGUUGACGGGCCAGCAUCGAUUUUGACCGCUGGAAAAAGGCCAGGGGAAUGUGGCACCCUCGGGUGUGUUUAUAGCCCUUAGUCACAUACGGUGGUUGGGAUCGAGGACCGCAGCACGCCUUCAUGGCCGGGGUUCGCCCACGUUCGUGCUUAGGAUGCUGGCAUAAUGGCUUUAAACGACCCGUCUUGAAACACGGACCAAGGAGUCUAACAUGCCUGCGAGUGUUUGGGUGGAAAACCCGAGCGCGUAAUGAAAGUGAAAGUUGAGAUCCCUGUCGUGGGGAGCAUCGACGCCCGGACCUGAACUUCGGUGAUGGAUCUGCGGUAGAGCAUGUAUGUUGGGACCCGAAAGAUGGUGAACUAUGCCUGAAUAGGGUGAAGCCAGAGGAAACUCUGGUGGAGGCUCGUAGCGAUUCUGACGUGCAAAUCGAUCGUCAAAUUUGGGUAUAGGGGCGAAAGACUAAUCGAACC
rnacentral:rRNA from 1 species